UUAGAUGGAUUCUCACAAAUCCCAUAAACA
rnacentral:tRNA from 1 species